ensembl:lncRNA
CAAUACUUUUGGGGGAAUUCACCUGAACUAAGUAAUUUCAUUGAACAUAAUGUUGGAUACCUGCGAGAGUAUGCUGCGAUCUUUAUAGCUCCAUGGCUGGCACGCGGUGGGUCCCAGUGUAAUUUGAGAAAUGCAUCCCUGCCGGCGAUUUUCAUUAAAUUAGGAAAUUAUGUGCGGAACUAUUUUGUCCCGCCCACGGGAUCUACGGAUACAAAUACUUCUGCUACACAUUUACCACCUAGACGUGUUGCAAAACAACCUGCAAAAAAAACCCACAGCUGAGACUUGCAGGAGCAGAUUCGAGCAGUUGUAAAAUGGAUUGGUGCUCCCUCAUUAAAAUGCUGAAUUAACGUAGCGUUCUUUAUCAUUUUAUUUGUGAGGAAAUUUUUCAUAGAUUCAUUACUUCAAAUUUGGGUUUACGAAUGCAAACCUUUUGGGCAUGUUCUCAGAUUAUGAAACACGGGUGUGCGAAUGUGUUUUGCACCAACUGCGCUGCAAUAAUUGUAGCAAAAGGAUUUGUGCACCUGUAACACAGAUUUGCGUACUCGUAGACCCUAUUUUGUGUUUACAAUGGUAUAAAAAAUAUUUACGACUACAUAUGUACUGUUACACAUUUGUGACAGUUGCCUUUACUCUCAGUUUGGCAAGGACAGGUAUGGUGGGCAAGGGGUUCUGAUGUAUGAGAGACUCGCUGAGAAACUAGUUCAGUACCAGGCUGAAAAUCCAGAAGCUACAACUUGUCAUCAAAUAUAUGAGGGUGUUAGUAAGCCUCUCAUAAUUGCCAUUGUAACACCUCUGAUGAAUCGUGUGCACAAGGAAGUACAGCAGUCUGGUGAAUUGUUUUUUGUGGAUGCGACUUCCAACACAGAAGAGCACAAUCUGAAAGUGUUUGUAAUGUGCACACACAGUGUAUCUGGAGCACUACCACUUGGUAUCUUCAUCACUAGUGAUGAGCAAGAAAGCACACUUAAACAGGGUUUUGAAAUGCUUCGCUCCUGUUUACCUCAGCAUGCGUUCAAUGGCCGUGGCCCAGAACAAGGACCCCAAGUCAUCCUCACAGACAACUGCAAAGAAGAAAGAAAUGCACUGAAGUCUGUUUGGCCAUCUUGUGUUUUACUCCUUUGUAUCUUUCACAUGCUCCAGCAGGUCUGGAGAUGGCUUCAUGAGGGUAGCCAUAAUAUCAACCAAUCAGACAGGCCCCAUAUCCUAAACCUUUUUAAGAAGUCCCUAUAUGCCCAAACAAAGCAAGAAUUCAACAACUGUUUCAGUGCACUUUUGAAUGAUGACCAAUGCAAACGAUACCCAAAUCUACUGAGUUAUCUACACAAUCUGUUCAAAGACAAAGAAGCUUUUGCUCUAUGCUUCAGAACAGAACUACCUGUUAGAGGCAAUCACACGAAUAACUUUGCAGAGGCCCAGUUUCUGGUUUUGAAGGAUGUGAUUCUACGUCGUACAAAAGAGUACAAUGUUGUUGGGCUACUGGACAAGCUGACAAUUGAUCUGGAAGACCAUUACAAGAAUAAGCUGCUCAGUAUUGCUGAUGGAAGUUAUGAUGGUCUUUACAGGCACCGAUUCAUGGGGAAAGGAAAGGAUGGAAGCACAGGCUUCAAAGUUCCAGAUAAAAAACAGCUGGAUACCUAUCUCUCCACUGUGAGAGACUUUGGCAACAACAUCUUCAAAGUUGGAAGCGCUUCAGAUACCAGUCAAAGUUACACCGUGGACAUGAGUCUUGGAGUGUGUAGCUGCCAGACUGGUAAAGAUGGGACCCCAUGCAAACACCAGUUUUCAACCAUUCGUCGCCAGAUCGUCAGCUACACUUACCUAGUUAAGUUAUCCUCCGACCUUUCUAGCCUUUUCCUAGUUAUUCUCAUUGUUCUCGUUCACCACUCGACUCUCCUCUCCUGCAGGAAUACCAGUUCCUCCGAACCGUCGAGGGUGACUAUCUGUUCCGGCAAUCCACCCGACCCACCAUCUCCGGAUCGCCACAGACCUUCUCCUCUGCUCUGUGUAGCAAUAAACUGG